AAUCAUCAAUCACUUAUUUAUCUCAUUAAUGCUUCAGUUGGUGGAAUAAAAAUAUGCCAGGACUUUUACUCUUUGACCCCUGGAUUACCCACCUCUGGUUAUUAUAUUAUAUUAUAUUAUAUAGAAAAAUCCAACCCAGAUCUCUCAGAUCAAAGCAGAAAGUCAUUUUCUUCAAGCAUUUUAUUAAAAUGACCUUAUUUACUCAUAUUAAUGAUGUGCAUUACAUUAAAAACAUGGUGUUUAAGGAUGUAAAAAAAGCAUCUGGCUGAUAUUGAGAUCUGUUAAUGCCACAUUUACUUGAUGAUCUAAAAACUGUCUAAAACAUGUCUUUGCUCACAGGAAAAUGUGGGCCACCACCACAUCUGAACUCUGCAGAUACAACGGAAAUGGCAAAAAAGGAAUACAAUUCAGGCGAGAGAGUUGAAUACACCUGCUUUAAUAAAUACAUACUGGUUCAGCGUUACCCCUACUCCAAAUACUUGACCUGUGAACACGGAGAAUGGAGAGGGAAUAUUAAGUGCUUAAAGCCCUGUUCAGUGUCUCUGGAGUUAAUGGAUGAACGAGGUAUACAGCUGCGAUGGGGUGAACAGCGAAAGAUAUUCUCACCACAUGGAGAUAGAAUCCAAUUUAGGUGUCAGAGUGGCAAAUCAUCAAUAGGCAGUGACCUAACACAAACAUGUAAUGAUGGAGUGAUGAAUUUGCCUCUGUGUGAGUGAAAAGGAGAAUAAAACAUCACUGAUGCAUACAGCUGUACAAAAUAAAACUUUUGUAACACUCUC